ensembl:lncRNA
CAUCAUCUGUUUCUGUGUCUCAGUGUUAUUUCUACACUGGAAAAACUCAGAAACAUUUGUCCUGUCAGGAGACACUGACAGGAGCUGAGCUGCUGUUCAUGUCACAUCAGAGUUCACCUGCUCAGGUUGAAGUCAGUUGUUAUUAUGAUGGAAAUGGGAAUCAUGCGUCUCCAUACAGUGACAAAACCUCCAUCACUGUACUGAGUCCAAAACCAGAGAUGAGUGUUCAUCGUGAUGAUGAAAAUGUUCUCUUCACUUGCUCUCUGCCUGGAUCUGUCAAUCAAAACACAAAAUGUAACCUGUACUUUGGAGAAGAAAGUCGUCCAGCAAUAACAACAAACGCCUGGAAACAAAGGAGCUCAAAAAACAAACAGUUCUGCCAGUUUACUGUCCCAGUAGAAGAUUUACUGAGACGUCUACGUUUAGUUCAACAAAAAGAUGCCAGCUGUGACUACAGUGUGGAGCGUGAACCAAAGUCUUUGUCUCCUCGCAGUGAUGGAAAAAACCUGACAUACUUCAUAGAAAAAGAAUCACAUGUGACCAGAACAGAGUCAACAUUUACAGGUAGGUCAUUUUAUAAACAGUGA